AUGCAAGUCGAGCGAUGAAGUUUCUUCGGAAAUGGAUUAGCGGCGAACGGGUGAGGAACACGUGAAGAAUCUGCCCUCCACUUUGGGAUAACACCGGGAAACCGGUGCUAAUACCGAAUAUUGAAACAUAAGUGGCAUCACUGAGUUUUGAAAGAAUUUCGGUGGAGGAUGACUUCGCGGCCUAUCAGCUAGUUGGUGAGGUAAUGGCUCACCAAGGCAACGACGGGUAGCCGGCCUGAGAGGGCGACCGGCCACACUGGGACUGAGACACGGCCCAGACUCCUACGGGAGGCAGCAGUGGGGAAUAUUGGGCAAUGGAGGAAACUCUGACCCAGCGACGCCGCGUGCGGGAUGAAGGCCUUCGGGUUGUAAACCGCUUUCAGUAGGGAAGAAGCGAAAGUGACGGUACCUACAAAAGAAGCACCGGCUAACUAUGUGCCAGCAGCCGCGGUAAUACAUAGGGUGCAAGCGUUGUCCGGAAUUAUUGGGCGUAAAGAGCUCGUAGGUCGUUUGUUACGUCGGAUGUGAAAACCUGAGGCUCAACCUCAGGCCUGCAUUCGAUACGGGCAAACUAGAGUUUGGUAAGGGAGACUGGAACUCCUGGUGUAGCGGUGGAAUGCGCAGAUAUCAGGAGGAACACCAAUGGCGAAGGCAGGUCUCUGGGCCAAUACUGACACUGAGGAGCGAAAGUCUGGGGAGCGAACAGGAUUAGAUACCCUGGUAGUC
rnacentral:rRNA from 1 species